AUAGUUUGACCGCAUAUGUUCAAUAAAUCCAACACGCUGCAAGGCAAACGCAGCUCUCAUUGAUUAAUUUAAUUCUGGUGUACCAAAAUGCAAUGACUAUGUCGGUGUGUUCAAAGCGGGAGUGUUAGAAAAUGUUUAUGAACUCCUAUACACCGCAUUCAUCCACUCAGAGGACCAAACACCAGAUAAUGACAUGAAUUAAGGAAAGAGACAAAUGUUGCGGCAAGGAAUCAAAACAACCACUUUAACAGUGACAACGAAAUGGCCCUGAAGUUGAGAGUUCACCUGUUCUGUCCUGGUUACAAGCUUCUGAGAGUUUGCUAUUGGACCGUUUGCUGUUCGGACUCCGAUGGUGAACAGUGGUGCCAAUGCCAACCAAUGGAUGCAAAGUAAAUCAUCCCUUAAUCUGUUCACACAGCCUCUGUGCUGAUCUUGUGGGACUGUCUUUUUAUUCCAAAAUGUGCCUCUUGGAAAAUGUAUUAUGGAAAACAAAUGAUCAUCUUGGAAAAUAAGUAGUCUAUGGCAAAACGAAGGCAAUUUCAUAAUUCAACCACGAUGGUGACAUUACAUCAUCUCUAGUGUUGUCAUGGAGAUUAGAGCUGAUCUAUCGAUAUCGUGUGACAAUCCCACCGAUAACCGAUAUUCAAAAAAUGUUAGUCUCAUGCUUAUCAUUCUCAUGAUGUGUCAUUAUUGUCACUGUGUAAGAAAUCAACAUUUUAAACUAAUUUCUUGGACAAUUGCGCUUUGGGAUGGCAAUUUAAGAGAACUCAGUGUGGAACAACGGCACUUUUUAAUUUCCUGCUGUAAUUGGCAGAUAUAUCGGUAUUGGUACAUUUUGUCCUCACAAAAAUCACAAUCUGACCCACAAACCCAAUUUCAGUCGAAUUCUAAUGAAGAUUGGACUAGGACCCAUUGGCCCAAUAAUAGGCCUAUGUUCAUAGGCUGCUCAGUAUGACAGGGUUGGUAGAGUAUAGCAGCCUAUACAACAUAAUGGCGGUUUGUUGAAUGUGUCGAAUGGCUCAACAACAGUCAUUGAGCAGCUUCUGCUUUGAUCUUUUCCUUUCAUUAGGACUUUACUUAAAUUGUAUUUGUAUUUAUUGUAUUUAUUUAAAUUGUAGUAGACCAAGGUAACCACCAAAGAAAGUAAUAAAAUGUAACUCAUUCAACAUUGCAUACAUGGAGGUCCUCUCAGUCUGGGCCAGAUUAUGCUCCAUCUCUAAACUCUCAGUGUGAUGCAAUAUGAGGUGAAAGGCUGACAUCUGGUGGUCAUGCAGUGUAAAUACAUUAUGUACUGAAAGAAGUGCAGUCAGGAAAGUCAUGGGGAACUAUUUAAUUGGGCACCACACAAGGCAACAUAGACUUUGGCUUGUUGUCAUUACCUCACUUAGAAAUGUGUUUUGUUUAAAGACAUAGCUGUUUCUUGACUCAUGUUUGCUACCUCUGUUUCCAUACAGUAUGCUACUGUACAUUGUGAUGUAUUGAACCAAUGGCAGGCUUACUUGGACCUUAUUAUCAAGCUGAAUGCAGUCCCUUUAACAUCAUAUCCAUGAACUGUUGUUAUACUCUAGAACAGAUAUAUAGUAAGUAGCCUUCCACAAGCCAGAUCAGCUCAUAGUAGCAGGAGCCUGUCCUGUUUGAUGAGGCAGCUUGAUGUGAAGGAUUGUGGUGAGGCAGCUUCAUCAUUAAAGGGUUGUGGAUUUGUAUCAUUUCCCUCUAGUGGCUGAACAAAGCCAUGCAUCUCUUUCUCAUCAGUAGCUCACAUAGAGCAACGCUAGGCCAGCCACAUCACAUAGGCUCAGGAUCUCUAAGAGAUAUCCUAACUCCAUUUGACAUCUCUUUGUUUCUCCUAUCACCGUGGAUUACCCCUGACAGUAUGACUGUGGACUGACUCCUUAAUAGAGGAAGCCAAAGGACUUUACCCAGAGAUCUGACAGACAGACAUACGGAUAUACUGUAGCUAGCAAAUAGGAUUUCUGUGGCUUAUCUCAUAAACCAAUUUCCUGUGCUUUUAGCCAAGAGUACAGUUAAUUUUUCAUAGCAUAGGCCUGUUUGUGGCUGAAGCAGAGUAAAUGUAACAUCCAUUUGCCUACAAUAUCCUGGGCCUGUCACUGCAGAGCAGGGCUUAAUUUCAUGCACUGAUACAUGCAGCCAUCUGCGCAGACUGACACGCAGGGAGUGGGACACACACGCACGCACUGACGCAGGUGCACACAC